UACGAAGGGGGCUCGCGUUGCUCGGAAUGACUGGGCGUAAAGGGCGCGUAGGCGGACUGCACAGUCAGGCGCGAAAUUCCUGGGCUUAGCCUGGGGACUGCGUCUGAGACGUGUGAUCUAGAGUGAGGAAGAGGGUCGUGGAAUUUCCAGUGUAGAGGUGAAAUUCGUAGAUAUUGGAAAGAACACCGGUGGCGAGGGCGGCUACCUGGGCCUUGACUGACGCUGAGGCGCGAAAGCGUGGGGAGCAAACAGG
rnacentral:rRNA from 1 species